rnacentral:rRNA from 1 species
UACAGAGGGGGCAAGCGUUGUUCGGAAUUACUGGGCGUAAAGCGUGCGCAGGCGGCUAUGCAAGACAGAUGUGAAAUCCCCGGGCUCAACCUGGGAACUGCAUUUGUGACUGCAUGGCUGGAGUACGGCAGAGGGGGAUGGAAUUCCGCGUGUAGCAGUGAAAUGCGUAGAUAUGCGGAGGAACACCGAUGGCGAAGGCAAUCCCCUGGGCCUGUACUGACGCUCAUGCACGAAAGCGUGGGGAGCAAACAGG